UGCAACCUCUAUUUUACUGAAAAUCUGUGCAAGGACAAAUAUCUCAAUGGUUCGACGACCUAAUUCAGUUAAACGCCUCUCAUCACGCUCAAUUGAGUCUUUGUUAAACUCAUCUCCAGAAGUGCCAUCCUUUGUCCGGUUUUGAGGGCCUUUCUCAUCCUUUGGAGGCAAUGGCUCCAACGCAGCACUCUCAAGCAAUAACAAGACAUCAUCCACCAAAACAAACAUGUUUUUCUCCAAACGGACAAUAGGAACCAGUUGUUCCUCUGCAUCCGAAUUUUUUGCCUUACUUUUCUUGCCCACUGUCUGGCCUUCAAGGGACCUAAGCCCGCUGUACAAGGAGUCCAUGACAAGAGUAGAAGUAACCUCUUUCUCUAUGAAAAAGUUCUUGACAACCACUUUUAAAAUUGAAUCUGAUCUCUCCUUGGACAUGCGGCGCCUAGAAUUUUGGUCCAUCCCCAUCCAAAAAGUACAGAAGCUCGACCAUCGCGCUCUAUCCUCUAUCAACUUCCCAAGCUUUACUCGUCGCUCUUCUACGAAACGGCGACAUAUUUGCUCCACAUUACUCAAAUAUACUCUAACAAGCUCCCUUCGAUAUUGACGGUCAAGGCAACGGAAGGGACGGUCUGCUUUCUCCCUGAUUACUUGAACUUGAGCCUUUAUUAUGAGCGUAUCAGCAUCGACAAAACCAUCUAAAACUUUCGACAGCUCCAUAAACUUUUUCCACCCCCAAUCAUGCUCUUUCUUCCAG
rnacentral:misc_RNA from 1 species